UGGGGGAUAUUGCGCAAUGGGGGCAACCCUGACGCAGCAACGCCGCGUGAAGGAUGACGGCCUUCGGGUUGUAAACUUCUGUCGCAAGGGAAGAAGAAAGUGACGGUACCUUGUGAGAAAGCCACGGCUAACUACGUGCCAGCAGCCGCGGUAAUACGUAGGUGGCGAGCGUUGUCCGGAUUUACUGGGUGUAAAGGGCGCGUAGGCGGAUUUGCAAGUCAGAUGUGAAAUGCCGGGGCUUAACCCCGGAACUGCAUUUGAAACUGUAAACCUUGAGUGCCGGAGAGGAAAGCGGAAUUCCUAGUGUAGCGGUGAAAUGCGUAGAUAUUAGGAGGAACACCGGUGGCGAAGGCGGCUUUCUGGACGGUAACUGACGCUGAGGCGCGAAAGUGUGGGUAGCAAACAGG
rnacentral:rRNA from 1 species